AAGUGAACUGUGCUGUGUGUUAUCCAGAGUCAGAGCACCUGAAGAGCCAUGAGUCUCAAGACUCAUGGUUGUUUCAUUGAUGUCAACUUCAAGGGUGAUCGCUGAACAGUGAGCUUCUUCUGACUUGAGGUGUCUGCAUAGAGUCAAGAAGAUAUCCAUGUUGGAGACACUGUAUCAGGUAGCAUCUCUUGUCCACUCUACAGGAGAAUUUUUGCUUUUUGACACAGUAACCCUUGUGUUCUACUGGAUCUACUGAGUAAAGAGACGAAUUUGAACAUGA